rnacentral:tRNA from 1 species
CGCCUCCGUCGGGACGGCCAGCCGCGCGGCGUCGAGGGCCGCGGGCUCCGCCGGUUCGAACUCCGGCUGGGGCGG